rnacentral:tRNA from 1 species
GGCGGGGUAGCUCAGUGGUAGAGCAGCGGCCUGAAAAGCCGUGUGUCGGCAGUUCAAUUCUGCCCCUCGCCA